rnacentral:lncRNA from 1 species
UGUUGCUAAAGCAAACUGGAAAUGGAAGAUAUACUAGCAACACUAAUGCCGAGGUCAACUAUUAAUGACGCCAUACAAUCCGAAUAUUAGAGGACUGUGAAUCAUACAUGAUCUCAAAUGUCUUUCUCAGCUCUUCAUAUUCAUCAUAUUCUUCAUCCCAACACUCUGAGUAAUCGAUUGGGUUUUCAUUUAAAUCAACUAUUUUAUUUUUACUACGAACAAGUUCCACACUAAGACCACCGAGAUUAGUCUGAAAUGAAAUAUUUUUAGUGUAUGUAGGAUUCAACCAUGGGAUGUGCCGCAAUGAAUUAAAGGGUACAUAACCCACCCUUUCAUACUUACAUUGUUCCCAACUCUUCAUCCGAGAGUAAUCAUAUGUGGACGUCUCCUGCUUAAUAUCUAUGCGAUAACUCAACUUACCGCGACUGUCAUCACAUAAGAAUAAUAAAAGUCCACUAAAGUCACUGUGCCAGUUGCUUGGAAGUUGCAAUGUAACUAAUCUCAUAAAAAUACGUGGCGAUGGUUCAAUCGCGGGAAGUAAGACACUCAUAAAGCGAUCAUUAGCUGCAUUUCCCUGCCACAAAGUAGUACCCUCUUAUUCGUUCUCUCUCCAAGUGAGACUUUCCACAACCAUUUAUAGUAUGAUAAAUCUCUUACAAUUUCAAGUGAGUCACAACCAUCUGCUUUGAGAAUAGCUAUGCUUGAUGGGAGGUCUGGCAAUUCUACAAGGUUUUUGCAGUAUGACAGAUUGAGAAACUUGAGACCUGGGAGUCGUCCAACUGACGGUGGGAUUAUUUCAAUACCAGUAUGACGCAAAUCAAGGGUUACCAAGCUAUACAUGUUUGACUGGAUAUCCGGAA